rnacentral:rRNA from 1 species
CCCGCUGAACUUAAGCAUAUCAAUAAGCGGAGGAAAAGAAACUAACAAGGAUUCCCUUAGUAACUGCGAGUGAAGUGGGAAAAGCUCAAAUUUAGAAUCUGGCAGUCACUUGGCUGUCCGAGUUGUAAUCUAGAGAAGUGUUGCCCGUGCUGGACCAUGUACAAGUCUCCUGGAAUGGAGCAUCACAGAGGGUGAGAAUCCUGUCUUUGACAUGGACUGCCAGUGCUUUUGUGGUAUGCUCUCAAAGAGUCGAGUUGUUUGGGAAUGCAGCUCCAAAUGGGUGGUAAAUGCCAUCUAAAGCUAAAUAUUGGCGAGAGACCGAUAGUGAACAAGUACCGUGAGGGAAAGAUGAAAAGAACUUGGAAAGAGAGUUAAACAGUACGUGAAAUUGCUGAAAGGGAAACGCUUGAAGUCAGUCACGUUGACUUGGAAUCAGCUCUGCUUUUGCUGGGUGUACUUUCUUGUCAAUGGGUCAGCAUCAAUUUUGACCAUUGGAUAAAGUUGCUGGGAAUGUAGCAUCCUUUAGGAUGUGUUAUAGCCUGGUGAUGCAUACAGUGGUUGGGAUUGAGGAAUUCAGCACGCCACCAGGCCAGGUUUUGACCAUGUUCGUGCUUAGGAUGCUGGCAUAAUGGCUUUAAUUGACCCGUCUUGAAACACGG